rnacentral:lncRNA from 1 species
GUUCAUCGGCGGAAGUGGUAUAUAGUUCUUUCGCGGUUGAAAGGAUGGAAAUUGUGACGCCCGGAUAAUUAAGCUACAAUAAACCUCUGCUGAUGAUGCCACAUCACCUCGGUUGCUGUUGUUAAUCUCGCGUUAGUUCAAAACCGAUUCGGAAUUCAAGUUUAAAAUAAAGGCAAACCACAAACGUUUUCAAACAUUGAAACUAAAAUGUUCUAAAGGUAUCGGAUAAAUCAUAGGUAAUUGUGAUGGUGAAACCAACUUUUAAUAAAAUAUUAAAAUACCCUAAAUAAUUAAAACAGGGGCCAAAACAAUAUUUUAAUUGCCUUUUAAUUUAUCAAAAAAAAUGCUAACUACUUUAACUCAUUCCCAAACUUGGUGGCACUGUAAAUAUGUGCAUCUCUAAAUAUGGGCCAAGUCUCAUAUUUCAUAGAAGUCAUUUGCUUUUAAAUAAAUUUAUAACAGUAAUAAAUAAAGGAAAACACAGAAUUCAAAAGGUAAGAGAAAAGAAAGUAAAAAGCCGAAGUGCACUGUGCACCUAACGGCCUGCCCAGCACAGUACGGCCUAGCCCAAGUCGCUCGGCCCUUCUUCAACCUCCUGCUCCUCCCCAUCGCGCUGGAGCUCGCGCGUCCGUUCCCGCGCCGAUCUCCACGCGUCGACCAUCCGUCGGCCCUGAGCGUGGAUAAGGAUACCCCGCUGCCCCCUCUAUCGAACCCUAGCGCCCCCACUCCCCUCUCUUCCCCUUCCCCUUCUCUCUGAGACGCCGCUCGACCCCCUCCUCACCGAGCGCCACUGUGGCCAUGGCCGCCGCGUAGUCGCGACCACCGCCUUCCCCGAGUACCUCCGACCAGCCCUGCAGCACCUCCACCGUCCUUUGCUUCGACUCCGCCACCUAGCGCCCGUCCGGAGCGCCUGCAUCGACGCCGAUGACCCCUUCUUCAACCUGGGACCUCCAUCGUCGCCGCCGUCGAAUUUCGGCCACACCGAGCAUCCCACGAGCACGCUGUGCGCACCUGGAGGCCCGCUGUGAGCUCCCCGUCCCCUCCGCCCUCUUCCCCUCGUAGGUCCAUGGCCGUAGCCGUCGUCUCCCCCUUGCCGAGCGCGCGCCGCCUCCUUUGGUCGCCGGCGUAGCUCCGUGACCGAAUGGCCAUGCACGCGCGACCGUAGCCUUGCCGCGACAUGUAGGCCCUUGCUAGCUCCUUACUCCGCUCGUUUGCGUGCUGCUGUCAUUCCUUCUUCACCCGAAUGCCGGCGUUCGCUUCACCCAUCGUCGGCGCCUACUCCGGCAGCCCCAGCUCCGGCCACCCCCCCGCUGCUUUCCCUCAAGCUCGUGCACGCCCGGGGCGCGCCUCGCCCCUGCGGCUGCGGCAGCCCUCGCCUGCACCCCGCGCCGCUCGCUGCCCCCCUGCGCCAGCGCCGGNNNNNNNNNNNNNNNNNNNNNNNNNNNNNNNNNNNNNNNNNNNNNNNNNNNNNNNNNNNNNNNNNNNNNNNNNNNNNNNNNNNNNNNNNNNNNNNNNNNNNNNNNNNNNNNNNNNNNNNNNNNNNNNNNNNNNNNNNNNNNNNNNNNNNNNNNNNNNNNNNNNNNNNNNNNNNNNNNNNNNNNNNNNNNNNNNNNNNNNNNNNNNNNNNNNNNNNNNNNNNNNNNNNNNNNNNNNNNNNNNNNNNNNNNNNNNNNNNNNNNNNNNNNNNNNNNNNNNNNNNNNNNNNNNNNNNNNNNNNNNNNNNNNNNNNNNNNNNNNNNNNNNNNNNNNNNNNNNNNNNNNNNNNNNNNNNNGGCCACCGCCCCCGCUACCUCCUCGAACGGCGACGCCGUCGUCCACCUACCGGCAACCCGGCGGCCCCCGUUCGCCCCUCCAGACGCGCGCGAGCGUGGGCAGCUCGCUGGUGCCCUCCACAGCCGCCGGCCACCGCUCCCCGAGCCACCUUCAGCCACCGGCGCCCGCUGCAGAUGCGCCCACGCAUCCCAGGCUGAUGUGGCGGGGCGUGCCCCCCUAUGCCACUGGCAAUGGGCCCCGCGGCCCUAGUUGACUGGUCAACUGGCCCAGUUGACCAGCUGACUGGGCAGUUGACCCAGGUCAACAGGGACCCACUGGUCAACCUCACUGGUGCACCUCUGGUGCACUGCACCGGGUGCACCCAGUUUUUAACUGCUGAUUUUCGAAAUAAAAAAAACAAAUAAGAAAAUUAUAGAAAAUGAUUUAAAAGUUUCAAAAUUAAUAGAAAAUAAACCGUAAGUCAGAUUAAAAUAUUUUAUAUAUGAAAGUUGCUCAGACGACGAGACGAAUCCGAAUACGCGGUCCGUUCGUUCGCCACAUGUCCCUAGCAUAGUGAACAUGCAACUUUUCUCCUCCAGAUCAUCUACCCGAAAACGCGAAACACCGGGAAUACUUUCCCAGAUGUUUCCCCCCUUCGCCGGUAGCACCUAAUACUGCGUUAGGUCAUUCCUAGCACCGCGUAUUGCCAUGUUAUGCUUUGUGAUGCUUUGAUUGCUCUGUUAUUUAUUGUGUUCCCCCUUCGUCACUUCUUUCCGGUAGACCCCGAGAUCGCGGUUGAACCAGUGAUCGACUACUUCACCUUCGAGGGCCCGUUUUUGUCCGCAGAGCAACCAGGCAAGCCCCCCCUUGAUCACCAGAUAUCGCCUAUUCUUCUCUAUACUGCUUGCAUUAGAGUAGUGUAGCAUGUUACUGCUUUCCGAUUAAUCCUAUUCUGAUGCAUAGCCUGUCUUUGCUACUACUUUUGUUACCUUUACCUGCAAUCCUACAUGCUUAGUAUAGGAUGCUAGUGUUCCAUCAGUGGCCCUACACUCUUGUCCGUCUGCCAUGCUAUACUACUGGGCCGUGAUCACUUCGGGAGGUGAUCACGGGUAUAUACUAUAUAGUUUAUAUACAUGACACAUGUGGUGACUAAAGUCGGGUCAGCUCGUUGAGUACCCGCAAGUGGUUCUGAUGAGGGGGCUGAAAGGACAGGUGGCACCAUCCCGGUAGAGGUGGGCCUGGGUUCCUGACGGCCCCCGACUGUUACUUUGUGGCGGAGCGACAGGGCAGGUUGCGACCACCUAGGAGAGAGGUGGGCCUGGCCCUGGUCGGCGUUCGCGGAUACUUAACACGCUUAACGAGAUAUUGGUAUUUGAUCUGAGUCUGGCCAUUUGGUCUAUACGCACUAACCAACUACGCGGGAACAGUUAUGGGCACUCGGUGUCGUGGUAUCAGCCAAAGCUCUUUUUGACGUUAGCGACUGAGUGGCGCGCGCCGCAUUGGACCCUAAGCUCGCGCUUGUAUUAAGGGGGCUAGGUCUGCUUCCGGCCGCGUACGCAACAUGCAGGUGUGCAAUGGGCGAUGGGCCCAGACCCCUGCGCGCAUAGGAUUUAGACCGGCGUGCUGACCUCUCUGUUGAGCCUAGGUGGGGCUGCGACGUGUUGAUCUUCCGAGGCCGGGCAUGACCCAGGAAAGUGUGUCCGGCCAAAUGGGAUCGAGCGUGUUGGGUUAUGUGGUGCACCCAUGCAGGGAAGUUUAUCUAUUCGAAUAGCCGUGUCCCUCGGUAAAAGGACGACCCGGAGUUGUACCUUGACCUUAUGACAACUAGAACCGGAUACUUAAUAAAACACACCCUUCCAAGUGCCAGAUAUAACCCGGUGAUCGCUCUCUAACAGGGCGACGAGGAGGGGAUCGCCGGGUAGGAUUAUGCUAUGCGAUGCUACUUGGUGAACUUACCAUCUACUCUCUUCUACAUGCUGCAAGAUGGAGGUGGCCAGAAGUGUAGUCUUCGACAGGAUUAGCUAUCCCCCUCUUAUUCUGGCAUUCUGCAGUUCAGUCCACCGAUAUGGCCCUUUACACAUAUACCCAUGCAUAUGUAGUGUAGCUCCUUGCUUGCGAGUACUUUGGAUGAGUACUCACGGUUGCUUUUCUCCCUCUUUUCCCCUUUCUAUACUUGGUUGUCGCAACCAGAUGCUGGAGUCCAGGAGCUAGAGAUUCCGAGGAUGAUUCUACGUGGAGUUCGGCUUCGAGGAGUAGUUAGGAGGUCCCAGGCAGGAGGCCUUGCCUUUUCGAUCGUUGCUACUUUUGUGCUAGCCUUCUUAAGGCAAUCUUGUUUAACUUAUGUCUGUACUCAGAUAUUAUUGCUUCCACUGACUCUUGUGUUUUCGAGCUUGUGUAUUCGAGCCUUCGAGGCCCCUGGCUUGUAAUAUAAAGCUUGUUUUAUUUUAAUUUGUGUCUAGAGUUGUGUUGUGAUAUCUUCCCGUGAGUCCUCGAUCUUGAUCGUACACAUUUGCGUGUAUGAUUAGUGUACGGUCAAAUCGGGGGAGUCACAAGUUGGUAUCAGAGCCGACUGCCUGUAGGAAUCCCCCUUCCACACUCCUUGGCCGAAGUCGAGUCUAGACAUUGCAAAACUUUUACUAACAUGGCUGUGUGUCUUACGGGCCCACGUCGCCACUGGGUGGUAUUAGGAUCUUUUAUUCCUCGUCUAUACUCUGGGCUCUUAUCUCUCUUCUAUUCGGGUUUAAUGAAUUUACUAAAAUCUAACUUUAGGUUCUCAAAAAUACUUUCUCCCGGAGAGCCCCUUCAGUCCAGAUGAUCGCCGGCUACACCAGAAGAUUCCGAAGAUAAUCUCCGAUGUCCUCUCGAGACACUUGUGCCCACCGCCUUUGCAAAUUCCCUACCACUGUUAUAUCAUUAUGGAUAACUACAUACACUUGCCCUUUCAAUCCCAUGGAUCUUGUUAUUACAAGAUACCCUGAAAAUUCUCUCUAUAGUUCCGAGAAUUCUUUGUGCCUACUGUCUUGCAGUUCAUUACCCACUAGAACACUCCUACGGAUAAUUCCUCGCACAUACCGAGUAUCCGCUCAUCCCCAGUUGUUUAUGUGUUUCACUAAGGUCUUUGAAAUACUAUUCGAUCUUCCGAAAAUCCUUAGCAGCUUAUUGCUCUUGAAAUUCUUGCUUGCUUUCAUUAUGGUUAAUCCCAUAAGUAUAGUAAUCUUAUUGGCAGCCCUUGUCACUAUCAUUUUGAGUCCAUUGAUUCAAUAUGUUGCGAAUGCUCGCAAUCCCCAAUCAGAUCCUAGAAUUCAUCCUUUCGGCUCAGAUGUCAUAUUAAGCAUGAGCUGGAUCUCGACCAAUCAAAUUGUUGUCGAUUUUACCCCUAAGCUUACACAACUUAUCCAUUCUUAAUCAGAGCGUUUGCUUCUGAUCCUUUGAUUUGGAAAUCAUAAUUCAUUUGCAUUUGAGCUUUGGAUUAGUUAGUUGUUUCUAUAAUCUGAUGCCUUUGCAUUCUUUUUCCUUCUGAUUGAGUACCGAUACUCACAUUAGAUUCCUUGUGGUCUGCGAGACCAAUUGCUUGGUUAUUAUCCGACAGUGUCCUUCAUAUCCAAUAACCUUGAGAGUUUCUCCCCUGAUACCUAAUGCCUUUGGUAAAUUGUGUCUUCUGCCUUUGGCAAGUAAUAUCCUAUGCCUUUGUCAACCAUGCUCUGCUUCGAGCAUGUCUUAAUUGAUCCUAAAGUUCAUGGUAUAUGUUCUAAGAUACCCCGAUGGGUUGAACCUAUGCCUUCCUUAAUCUGUGUGAACUCGAAAGUUUUCACGGGUCAUACUCCUCUGGUAAUUCACCAGGUAGGUUUUGACACUGAAAUUAUUUUUAUCUAGAGCAGUGAAUGAAAGGUUAGGCAUUGAAGAAGUGGGAGUCGACCUUGAACUUUGUGUUCAUGCCCAUGGACACGAUGUAGAUCUUAUCAUUAAAGCUUCUCUUAAAUUAAUUAUUCCCUUAGUAUAAGUUCUUAUAUCUGGGAUCCGGCCUUUUUCAAUCAUGGUUCCGACCAUGUUCUCCUUUAAAUACCUUUUCUCGUGCAAGUUUAAGCACUUGUCUUCUGCAGAGCAAUACCCUAGUCCAACCUCUAUUUUGAUCUACCUUUGAGUAUUACCCCCCUGGUAUCUCGAGGAUAUCAACCGAUUGCACUACAUCUUAUGCAUUUCUGACGAAGUAGUGCCUUUCCCCGUCAUAGUCACUCCACGGGUUCUGGGUUGUCGUCAACCGAAAACAUCGAUAAGUGAAUCGAUUCCGCGCUCCGAUACGAUAACUCUAAGUAAUUUUCAGUGCUUAUGAGUUUAAUAAUCCUUCAAUUCAUUCCUAGCCUGAUUGGCUAUAUCCUUAUCGUGCUAAAUUUUAACUGUGCUACCUGGUCCUUCUUCCUAGAGCACAACUUUCAACGAUGAGCUAAGCUCACGUCGAUCUGCCUCGUCUUAUCAUUCACCUCGAACAGCAAGCUUGAUUCUGAGUUGAUGUCGUACCCAUGGUUCCAAAAACCUUUUGCUUCAUCAUUCCUUUGACUUGAUGUCGUCACUGAUUGAUUACAUCUUCAUGAAAUCUCUUGACAAAUGUGUCGUGAUAUCAUCAACAUUUUGAGCUCUUCCAGGAUAUCAAUCAAAUUCAUGAUGGGAAAUACCAUCCUUGCCCCUCGAUGAUUGUGUUAUCAUCGACAACAUUCUUGCCUCCCCCCAACACAAACUUGUUCAUGUUAUGGAUGCAACUUGCUAUCCAGCUUGUAUGAUGUUCUACCUUGAAGUAUCAAUGUCUUUUAUGACAAGGAUAUUGUGAGGAUUGCUCCACCUCUUAAGAAUUCUUGGUAUAGUGAUACUUCUCACCAUCACCAUUCUUUCUUGGUCCUCGUGUUGAUUCCAACCGGGGUACCAACAAGUGAACGGUGAUGUUUCGAUUCUGCCCUUCUAGCAACCCUAUUGCUUUGAAGUUAAUGGUCGGCUGUUCAUUCUUAGACUAUUGAUUAUUGAAUCACCAUUCCGACGUUAGUCGUGCAACCCAGCCCAUAUUUUGGGUGCACCUUUCAACCAAUGUUUAAUUGUGUAUGUUUUCCUCGAGCAUAGAUCAUUAUAUCGUUUGAUCUGACAAGUGUUACCUCCUUGUUCACAUCAUUGUGGAAAUCCAUCUUUUGUUAAUCUCGAUGAAUAGUCGCUGAGUCCAUCAGCCACCUCCUCAUCCUCUCCUUGGUUUAAUGGUGAACUCUUGUUUUGGAAAUCACUUCCAUUGAUCAUUUACCGAGAAUCUUACGAUGUCAUCUCGUCAAUUUGUGUUGCACCUUUUCUUUUCAGGAAUCCCGUGUCUGAGUUAUCUUGACACCAAUCAGAUCUGAAUCUCGGUCAGAUAUGAUGGUUGGAACAUAUUUUCAAGAGUUAUAACAUGAAUCCUCUUAUGACCCGGUAAGGUGAUGUCAUGCACACCUGACCGGAGGACCAAGUGUUAUAGUUUCCUUUUUAACAAGGUUAACCAUUUUUCCAUGAGGAAAUUGAAUGCCUUGUUUAAUAAGUUUAUCCCGAUGGAUCCUUUGUGUAUCCAAAGUCCGACCUUUGCUUGAAGACCAUGUCAAUGCUAUCUCGAAACAUGUCUAUGGUACUCUGAUUUCCAAUAAAAACAUUUGAAGCACAAUGCUAAAUUUUCUUUAUCAAUUAUCCAAACACCGUUGUAUGGGUAAUGGCAUGCAAUUUCUCUCCCCUUACCUAAAGAGUCUUCUACAUUAUAUCCUGUCAUGGAUAUCAUGCUCUGCUUAUCCUUGGGAAGGAUAUACCCUUGAAGUGUGUGCUUAAACACAUUUUCCUUUCCAUUGUCCCGUUUAAUCUGACAAUCAUAUUUUCCUUUCCAUUGUUUGGUUUAACCUUUCUGGUGAUCUAUAUAAUCUAAGCAGUAAUAAUUCACUGCUUAUGUUAACACCUCGGUGUACAACUCUGUUAGUGAGACCCUGUUUCUAUUGUUGAUGACAUUCGAGUAACCACCGAUGGACGAGAACUUUGCCUAUUGGUCCGCCUCGUUCAGCGAGCAGGAAAAUAGUUCUCUUUGUCCCUCGCCCUUGGUACCGACAUUGUUGCCGACAUAACUGAUAGGCUACCCUCUGACAUGUCUUGCUAUCAUGACCGUGCAAGAUGUCAACGCCCUUCCUACUUUUAACCACAUGGUGGGCCCAUAACCCACAGUUCCACAGGAUCGAAACCUGACUCUCCUGUACACCCAUAUUGCCAAAGUUAUUUCCUCGCGCUUGAUUUUGUAUGUAAUUCAUGGGUCAUCUUCCUAGAAAUCUACUUUGGUAUCGGACACAAUACUUAUUUCUCGUUGCUCUGGUCCCCUUUCCCACUUUGUUCAUGCAUCGAACGAUUGCCUACCCGCUUAAACUUCUCAUGGUAACUUCUUACUUUGCUCUCGAAAUUUUCUGAAGUUUCAGUUCGAGAGUUUCUUCCCGCCACCUUCCCCGAUGUUAGCUACCAGGUAGUCAACCUUGUAGAAUUCCGUUCUCUUGGAAUACCAAUCCUUUAUUCUUUUGUAUGUACAAUGGAGUUCCCGAAGAAAGGAUGCUGACUUCAUCAUCAUCACCUGAAGCAGAGAAAUAAAGACAUCAACGAAGAGAAUCAACUACUUCAGGAAGAGCAACAACCACCGAGAAGACUCGUUAGAAUUUCUUAACCAAAUCCCUUUCCCCCUUAUCCCACCUCUUAAAUCUCGGGACGAGAUUUCUUGUAGUGGAGGAGAAUUGUGACGCCCGGAUAAUUAAGUUACAGUAAACCUCUGCUGAUGAUGCCACAUUACCUCGGUUGCUGUUCUUAAUCUCGCGUUAGUUCAAAACCGAUUCGAAAUUCAAGUUUAAAAUAAAGGCAAACGACAAACGUUUUCAAACAUUGAAACUAAAAUGUUCUAAAGGUAUCGGAUAAAUCAUAGGUAAUUGUGAUGGUGAAACCAACUUUUAAUAAAAUAUUAAAAUACCCUAAAUAAUUAAAACAGGGGCCAAAACAAUAUUUUAAUUGCUUUUUAAUUUAUCAAAAAAAGUGCUAACUACUUUAACUCAUUCCCAGACUUGGUGGCACUGUAAAUAUGUGCAUCUCUAAAUAUGGGCCAAGUCUCAUAUUUCAUAGAAGUCAUUUGCUUUUAAAUAAAAUUUAUAACAGUAAUAAAUAAAAGAAAAC